UUCCUGCUGAAGCACACAGAAAAACCACAACAGAAGGAAUCAGAAGAAGGCAAGAGAUAUUCUCUGCAAGGACUCAUUUUUAGACAAGAUACCAGUUGAUUUGACUCCACUGGAUCAACUGAGACGCUUCAGUCCCUCACCAUGAAUUCAGCAUCCUUUUUGUUAAUAUUAUUGGCUCUCAUGUCAAGAACUCUUUUCUGCCAGGCUGAAAACCCCGUCCAGGAACCCCUGCUAGAAGCAUUCAAUGGAAGAGACAAAGAUCUUUCUUGCUCCCAUCCCAAUAUUCAAAUAAGUGAAAAUAUCUUUUGGUACCGACAGUUCCCUAGCCAGCCUCCUGAUCUCUUUGCAAGUGGAUACCAGGGAACAUCAAAAAGCUCUAAAGAGGAGAGAGUUUCUUUGAUUAUUGCUGAGGAUCGAAAGACUAGCACCCUCUCCUUCACCAAAGUCAUCUUUGAGGAUCAGGCAUUCUACCUCUGUGCUCUGGUGGACACUGUGUCACAUCCUAGUGAGUCUCUUCGGCAAGAACCCUUUCUUGCAAAGCAGCUGCUACAGCUGCCACCAAGACAGGAAAGGAAGAUAACCUCACAAUCUGAAUGUGCCCAGGAGCAUUUUUGCCCAUGAUGAUUGAAAGGAUGAGUGAUGAAUUUGUUGACUUAGCAAUU